ensembl:lncRNA
UUUGUCUGCCUUCAUCUUUCUGUCUUUCUUUCUUAUUUUCGUUCUGUCUUUCUCCAAUCAAAUAAGGAGGAUAAAAGAAAAAGAAGAAGACAAAGAAGAAGAAGAAGAAGAAGAAGAAGAAGACCUAAGUUCAGAAGCUUUGCGGACCCCAGUGAAAGUUGAUUCAGAAUCAGACCCGGCCUACUGCCAAGCACUGCAAUGACCGAGAUCAUGAGUAUAUGUAUACAGCUCUAUGAAUUAAUGAUGAAUGAAUGAAUGAAUAAAUGAAUGAAUGAAUGAAUGAAUGAAUGAAUGAACGCAACCAUAUAAAGAAGACAGCAAAAAAGUGGUCUGAAGAACUGAGAGAGUCUGACCAAAACAACUACAGAUUCCUGGAUGAGUUACAGUAAGCUCUGCCCAGACCAGCCCAGCCCAUAUCAUUUGGGUACCACUACAACAGCAGACUAGAAGCAGCAGACUAGCAACACAAUAGCAGACUAGCAACAGCAGACUAGCAACAGCAGACUAGCAACAGUAGACUAGCAACAGCAGACUAGAAGCACAACAGCAGACUAGCAACAGCAGACCAGCAACAGCAGACUAGGAGCACAACAGCAGACAAGCAACAGCAGACUAGAAGCACAAUAGCAGACCAGCAACAGCAUACUAGCAACAGCAGACUAGAAGCACAACAGCAGACCAGCAAUAGCAGACUAGAAGCACAACAGCAGACAAACAACAGCAGACUAGAAGCACAACAGCAGACUAGCAACAGCAGACUAGAAGCACAAUAGCAGACUAGCAACAGCAGACUAGAAGCACAACAGCAGACCAGCAACAGCAGACUAGAAGCACAACAGCAGACUAGCAACAGCAGACUAGAAGCACAACAGCAGACUAGCAGCACAACAGCCGACUAGCAACAGCAGACUAGAAGCACAAUAGCAGACUAGCAACUGCAGACUAGCAACAGCAGACUACAACCGCAGACAAGCAACAGCAGACUAGAAGCACAACAGCAGACUAGCAACAGCAGACUAGCAACAGCAGACUAGCAACAACCGACUAGCAACAGCAGACUAGGAGCACAACAGCAGACUAGCAACAGCAGACUAGAAGCACAACAGCAGACUAGCAACAGCAGACUAGAAGCACAAUAGCAGACUAGCAACAGCAGACUAGCAACAGCAGACUAGGAGCACAACAGCAGACCAGCAUCCCACAAGUACAUUUACAUUUAGUCAUUUAGCAGACGCUUUUGUCCAAAGCGACGUACAAGGGGGGUGUAGUACAGGUGCAUGAGAGUAAGGCCCUCUGCC